AGUGGAGAUUGGGGAGCUCGGAAGGCUUUCAGCAUCAAUGAAAAAACUGGAGAAGGAACUUAAGAAUACCGACAAAUAUAAGAAUGAGCAAUACCGGAGUAAGCUUCAGAAGUCCAAUGACUUAAUCAUUGCUUCUAGUGUUGGCUUUUAUGCCAAUAGCCUGUCUUACACUUCUGUUACCCCAGAUUGGGGAGCUCGGAAGGCUUUCAGCAUCAAUGAAAAAGCUGGAGAAGGAACUUAAGAAUACCGACAAAUAUAAGGUUUGCCAAUUCCAGGCAUCAUGCAUUAUGGUUAUUUGGUGGCACGGUGGAAUUUCCAUUUGAAGAUUAUUCUACAUUCUGAUGUUUGUGAAUUUUGCAUUGUAGAAUGAGCAAUACCAGAGUAAGCUUCAGAAGUCCAAUGAGAGGUCUCUAGCACUGAUUAAAGCAGGCAUGGAUAUAGUAGUUGCUGUUGGGUUGCUGCAAUUGGCACCUAAGAAAGUCACUCCUCGUGUAACAGGAGCCUUUGGAUUUAUUACCUCGUUGAUAUCAUGUUAUCAG
rnacentral:lncRNA from 1 species